rnacentral:rRNA from 1 species
UGCAAGUCGAACGCUGAAGCCUGGUGCUUGCACCGGGUGGAUGAGUGGCGAACGGGUGAGUAAUACGUGAGUGACCUGCCUUUGACUCUGGGAUAAGCCUGGGAAACUGGGUCUAAUACCGGAUGCGACUACUGCCCGCAUGGGCUGGUGGUGGAAAGGGUUAUGUACUGGUCUUAGAUGGGCUCACGGCCUAUCAGCUGGUUGGUGGGGUAAUGGCCUACCAAGGCGACGACGGGUAGCCGGCCUGAGAGGGUGACCGGCCACACUGGGACUGAGACACGGCCCAGACUCCUACGGGAGGCAGCAGUGGGGAAUAUUGCACAAUGGGCGCAAGCCUGAUGCAGCGACGCCGCGUGAGGGAUGACGGCCUUCGGGUUGUAAACCUCUUUCAGCAGGGAAGAAGCGGAAGUGACGGUACCUGCAGAAGAAGCGCCGGCUAACUACGUGCCAGCAGCCGCGGUAAUACGUAGGGCGCAAGCGUUGUCCGGAAUUAUUGGGCGUAAAGAGCUCGUAGGCGGCUUGUCGCGUCUGCUGUGAAAGCCCGGGGCUUAACUCCGGGUGUGCAGUGGGUACGGGCAGGCUAGAGUGCAGUAGGGGUAACUGGAAUUCCUGGUGUAGCGGUGAAAUGCGCAGAUAUCAGGAGGAACACCGAUGGCGAAGGCAGGUUACUGGGCUGUUACUGACGCUGAGGAGCGAAAGCAUGGGGAGCGAACAGGAUUAGAUACCCUGGUAGUCCAUGCCGUAAACGUUGGGCACUAGGUGUGGGGGACAUUCCACGUUUUCCGCGCCGUAGCUAACGCAUUAAGUGCCCCGCCUGGGGAGUACGGCCGCAAGGCUAAAACUCAAAGGAAUUGACGGGGGCCCGCACAAGCGGCGGAGCAUGCGGAUUAAUUCGAUGCAACGCGAAGAACCUUACCAAGGCUUGACAUACACCGGAUCGUUCCAGAGAUGGUUCUUCCCUUUUGGGCUGGGGUACAGGUGGNGCAUGGUUGUCGUCAGCUCGUGUCGUGAAAUGUUGGGUUAAGUCCCG